rnacentral:lncRNA from 1 species
GUCAUAGGGAAAUUAUGAAAUUUAAAACCUGAGAGACUUAUUUUAGUUUUAUAGCUAAUUAAAUACACUUCUUUGUUCUUUAAAUAUUUUCUCAUUCAGACUUUAGAUACCUUUGUUGUUUUCUUAACGAAACAAUAGACCCUUGCUUUUAUACUUUUUUUUUUUUUUUAACUCCUCUGGCUGGUUUUCUCCCAACUAGCCAUUUUAAGUGGAUACUUCUUAGAUGCUUAGAUUUCUGACAUUUUCAUCUUCCAAAUCAGAAAGCACCAACAAACUACAAUCGGUUUCACCUGUAAUCAAGCAACAGAAGGAAAUGAGAUAUUAUUUCACUAUUAUUACUUUGUGACUUUUAAAGUCUUAAUGUUCAACUUUUGAAUAGUCUUUUUUUUUUUUCCAAUUAAAAUUGCUCUGGGUUUAGAUGGACAAUGAUCUGGGAAAUCCGAGGGACUCGAUUUAGACCAGAACAGCUCGUGGAAGAGAAAACACAGCAAACAAAGUGCACUGGAAGCACCGUUUAACUUCGUCAGGUUCAUGCUCCUUUCAUACAGAGAUGUCUGACUAUCUUCUGUGAAUCAUCACAUGAGAACUUGCAUAGAAAAUCUGUCCGGGGAUAGGGACAGUGUGGGAACGUGGCUGAGGCUGGUUGGACAAUGGGACUGAGAGGUUACAUGCAUUGUCUGAGGAGCCUAAACAAACACCCGGGAGAACAGAGGUUAGCUCCCAGGGCUGUCUACCUUCCUGCUCUAAUCUUCACAAUGGUGCCAUUCUUCACCUUUCCUUUCUCUCUUGAACAAUCACUGGCUUAAAUUGUACCUAUUCCAGCAAGACAGGUUUGCAGGUUUCAUAAGCCUUCAUGACAGUAAGUACAAAAUUGUCUUAGAUAAUGAGAUAUUUAAAUAAAGAAUUUGACAAACCAGUGUAGGAGAGCGUGAGUUUGGAUGAAUGUGGAACAGCCUCUGCAACCUUGGAUAUAGAACUGAGUUUUUUCCCUUGUCUUCAUCUUCUCAGAAACUCCUGAAAGGUCUGGUUAUUUAGCUGAAUGCUCUGUGUUUAAGGGGCAGUGGAAGCCAUUUUCCUUGAAACCUCCCUUGGAAACUAAAGGUUAAGAAGCUCCUUGAGCAGCCUGGAUUAUGG